GCAACCCCACUCUGGCUUAGUCACCUCCUAGUGACUCCGCUUGCAGACAUGUGUCAUAGCCUGCCUCCUCUGGCACUAUUUUUAGGGCAGUCCCCUCAUUCAUGUUUCUGGAGACUUUAUAGUUGCCCUUGUCUCUGCCUGGCUGCUGCCUCAUUCAGUCUGCAGUUCUAGAGACUCCCCAGGUACUAUGCACGCAUUCUUAGCUUCUGCUGCUGUCUAGAAGUCUGACACUAAUCCUUGAAGGAAGUCCUGCUGGGCAGGGAAGAAGUGUCACUGACAUCCGGUGGGGUAGCCACAUAAAUCUUUCCCUGUUUUCUUCUCAAAGGCUUGGUUUGGAAGUCAGAGUUGAAAUAAUAAAAAGAUGACUAUAAUAUGGAAAUGGGGCUGGAGAAAUGGAUCAGUAGGUAAAGUGUCUGCUGUGCAUGUGAAGAACUGAGUUCAAAUCUCCAAGAUCUAUGUAAAAAAGCCAGAUGUGGCAUGCCUGGAACCCCAGUGCUCAUAUGGUGAGAUGGGCCAGUUAGCCUGGUGCUUGCAAUGGCAAACAAAAGACCCCGUAGAUGGUGAAGAUCGACACUCAAGGUUGUCCUCUGACCUCAUAGGCUCUGUGGCAUCCACACAUUGAUACAACACAAAUUCACCACACACACACACACACACACACACACACACACACACACACAGAUACAGACAGACAGACAGAGAGAUACACAGAGAAAGACUUUAAAAAUUUAAAAAGAACAUUUAACUCACAGGGGUUACAAAAUAUAUAUGCAGUGUGGAACAUAUCAUCUGUCACACAGUAAGUGAUCCAUAAAUGCUUGUAUUAAAAAUAGAAAGUUCUGGAGGAAUUGCUAUUAAUAUGUUUUUGGGGCAACAAACUACUCUAAAAUAGUAGGGUUACUAUGGAAUUUUAAAAGAUAUGAUAAUGUGAUUAGAUAGGAGAAUGUUAUUUUGUUUCUUGAGACUAGGUCUCUUGUAUCCCUGCCUCCCUUAGCUUCCUGAGUGCUAAGAUUAAAGGCAUGCACCACCACACCUGGUUUAGGAAAGUGUUCUUAGUCUGAGGGGAUGAAUGCUGAAAUAUUAAAGGAUAAGACUGUAGAACCUAGCCAAUUCUAAUAAUCUAGUCAGAUUUAUUAUAUAUAUUAUAUAUAUUAUAUAUAUUAUAUAAUAUAUAUUUCCUUGCUUCUAUUUCUAUCAGUGAAGCAAACAAAUCAAAUGUGGUAAGAAUACUAUUAUGGAAGCAGUUAGAUAGUACAGUUUAUGACAAACUCCCUCCCCACCCCCAGUAUGUUUGGAAAUUUUAAGAUAAAAAUGAGAAGUUAAAAUGGAGGGCCCUAGCUCUAGGCUAGUGAAGGCCAGCACAUAUAUUCUGCAGAGAGAGGACCAUAAACUCGGAAGAUGAGAUAGUCACUCAAGGCUGGAGGUCAGGAGAAGCCUGAACGCAUCAGGUCUUCUGGCUGUCUCAUCGUCCCCACGUGUGUGGCUGCAGCUGCUGACCUGUGGCAGCCAUGCUGUAGAGAGUGGUACCCAUUUUCCCUCAGAUACAGACCUUGGGGUAUUAUGGGUGUGUCCAAGGGUAUCUGUGUUGGGGCUUCCUUUCUGCUUAUUAGGUAGAUAAGCCAUAUGAUUGGAAGGCCUGAUGCCAGAUUGCCACUUUGGACAGUGGGCAUACCGGUUUGGCACUCAGCUUGUUGUUUUUGACUAGUGUUGGUAAUGGGACAAUAUGGGAGUUUAAACUCAGAUGGCAGAGGGGAGAGAGAAGAGGAAAGGGUAGGGCCAGGAGGGCAGAGGGAGAGAGAAGAGGAAGGGGUAGGGCCAGGAGGAACAUAAAGAAAAUCUGACUUCCAUCUAGAACUCCUUGAAAGAAGGGACUCCAGGGUAAAGCUGCGGAUGAAAUAUGUGCACGUAUUUUUUUUUCUUAAAAAAAAAAAAAGACUCUCUGUGAUCUACAGCAUUCCCCUCUAGCUAAUGGGGUUCUAGGAAGUGAAAAGCAGAAAAGAAGGGGAAAUGCCCACGUUAGGCCGGGUGGUGCUCAGAUAGUGCAUAGAGAUGAAUCAGGCUAGAAAGAAGAGAAAGGGGGGGAAA